rnacentral:snRNA from 1 species
GGGGAGAUAUCUUAAGCAUGAAGGAGGUUUUCUCAGGGUGAGUCUCAAACACUGCACUCCAGGUGUGCUGACCCUUGCGAUUUCCCCCAAAUGCGGGAAACUUGAC